rnacentral:rRNA from 1 species
GACGGAGGAUGCAAGCGUUAUCCGGAAUGAUUGGGCGUAAAGCGUCUGCAGGUGGCAGUUCAAGUCUGCUGUCAAAGACCGGGGCUUAACUUCGGAAAGGCAGUGGAAACUGAACAGCUAGAGUAUGGUAGGGGCAGAGGGAAUUCCUGGUGUAGCGGUGGAAUGCGUAGAGAUCCGGAAGAACACCGGUGGCGAAGGCGGCCUGCUGGGCUAUGGCUGACACUGAGGCGCGACAGCGUGGGGAGCAAACAGG